rnacentral:lncRNA from 1 species
UGUGACAGGCAAAGGAACAAAGUGACAAGCAAAAAGUAGCUAUAAAUAUUGUCUCUAGCUAGCCAUGAUUGAAAUCUCAGCCCUUCUCUACUGCAAAUGCCGACAUGUUGCACAAUCCAUACCAUCAUAUGUCCCAACUUUUUGAUGCACCUGACCUAUGAUCGUGCCACAUAGGGUAGGAUUUGCAGGAGCAAUCUACCAUCAACUACAAUUUGACAUGUGGAGGGCACGGCUAAUUCAAGGAUGAUUUCAUAG